rnacentral:rRNA from 1 species
AUUGAACGCUGGCGGCAGGCUUAACACAUGCAAGUCGAGCGGGGUGAUGGUGCUUGCACUAUCACUUAGCGGCGGACGGGUGAGUAAUGCUUAGGAAUCUGCCUAUUAGUGGGGGACAACAUCUCGAAAGGAUGCUAAUACCGCAUACGUCCUACGGGAGAAAGCAGGGGAUCACUUGUGACCUUGCGCUAAUAGAUGAGCCUAAGUCGGAUUAGCUAGUUGGUGGGGUAAAGGCCUACCAAGGCGACGAUCUGUGGCGGGUCUGAGAGGAUGAUCCGCCUAACUGGGACUGAGACACGGCCCAGACUCCUACGGGAGGCAGUAGUGGGGAAUAGUGGACGAUGGGGGGAAGCCUGAUCCGGCCAUGCCGCGUGUGUGAAGAAGGCCUUAUGGUUGUAAAGCACUUUAAGCGAGGAGGAGGCUCUUUUGGUUAAUACCCGAGAUGAGUGGACGUUACUCGCAGAAUAAGCACCGGCUAACUCGGUGCCAGCAGCCGCGGUAAAAC